ensembl:misc_RNA 7SK 7SK RNA
GGAUGAGAGGGUGAUCUAGCUGUGACGUCUGUCACCACAUUGAUCACCAGGGUUGAUUCCACUAAUCUGGCCAGCUAGGGGGGUGUCCCCUUCCUCCCUCGCCUCUGCUCCAUGCGCGUGCCUCCCAAAGCUGCAUGCUUAGUCCAGGAUGAUGAUCUUCCAGAUAGAGGCAUAGCAGUAACUGCGCUCCCCUGCUAGAGCCUCCAAACAAGCUCUCAACGUCCAUUUGUAGGAGAUCACAUGGCAGUCAAGCUUCCACGACUCCAGACACAUCCAAAUGAUGUGCUGCAUGUGGCAGUUUGCCUUUCUAU